rnacentral:rRNA from 1 species
UACGUAGGGUGCAAGCGUUGUCCGGAUUUAUUGGGCGUAAAGAGCUCGUAGGCGGCUUGUCGCGUCGUCCGUGAAAACUUGGGGCUCAACCCCAAGCUUGCGGUCGAUACGGGCAGGCUAGAGUUCGGCAGGGGAGACUGGAAUUCCUGGUGUAGCGGUGAAAUGCGCAGAUAUCAGGAGGAACACCGGUGGCGAAGGCGGGUCUCUGGGCAGUAACUGACGCUGAGGAGCGAAAGCGUGGGGAGCGAACAGG